UCAGAACUUACUCGGAGUAAGAUCCUGGCUGAGAGCCUUCUAUGCUUGUCUCCUUGCACCAUUUAAGAAGAAAUCUCCAAAGAAGAUGCAUGAGUUUAAUGCAAAGAACUUUGUUGUGCUGUCAAGAGGCUAGAUAGAGUGCAGGGAGCCAGGAAAUUUAUCAACAAUUGGAAAGAAAAGGCCAUACAGCUGAAAAAGUGUUCCCACGGCACAAGACAGAGAUCCAGGU
rnacentral:lncRNA from 11 species